UACGGAGGGUGCGAGCGUUAAUCGGAAUUACUGGGCGUAAAGCGCACGCAGGCGGUUUGUUAAGCUAGAUGUGAAAGCCCCGGGCUCAACCUGGGAUGGUCAUUUAGAACUGGCAGACUAGAGUCUUGGAGAGGGGAGUGGAAUUCCAGGUGUAGCGGUGAAAUGCGUAGAUAUCUGGAGGAACAUCAGUGGCGAAGGCGACUCCCUGGCCAAAGACUGACGCUCAUGUGCGAAAGUGUGGGUAGCGAACAGC
rnacentral:rRNA from 1 species